AGUGAACGCUGGCGGUAGGCCUAACACAUGCAAGUCGAACGGCAGCACAGUAAGAGCUUGCUCUUACGGGUGGCGAGUGGCGGACGGGUGAGGAAUACAUCGGCAUCUACUUUUUCGUGGGGGACAACGUAGGGACACUUACGCUAAUACCGCAUACUACCUACGGGUGAAAUCAGGAGAUCUUCGGACCUUGCGCGACUGAAUGAGACGAUGUCGGAUUAGCUAGUUGGCGGGGUAAAGGCCCACCAAGGCGACGAUCCGUAGCUGGUCUGAGAGGAUGAUCAGCCACACUGGAACUGAGACACGGUCCAGACUCCUACGGGAGGCAGCAGUGGGGAAUAUUGGACAAUGGGCGAAAGCCUGAUCCAGCCAUACCGCGUGAGUGAAGAAGGCCUUCGGGUUGUAAAGCCCUUUUGUUGGGAAAGAAAAGAAGCAGGUGAAUAUCCCGAUGUUCUGACGGUACCCAAAGAAUAAGCACCGGCUAACUUCGUG
rnacentral:rRNA from 1 species